rnacentral:lncRNA from 1 species
UCGUCGGCAUGUUGGAAUGUUCCUCUUCGAAGACCAAGCAUAUCCAUGGAACCCAAGGAACAUAGAAUGGUGAUGGCAAUUAAAGAAAAAAUUACACGAAGAAUCUUAGAGGGAGGAAGGAGGUGGAGAAGAGAGUUAGAUUACGGUUAAUCUAUUGGGAUCUAUGAAAUAGGAGAAGCCCAUUGAAACCUAUGUCACCGGAUGUAGAUUUAAGAGGAUCAGUGAAGAGAAGGUUUUGAUGGAGAGAGAGGAG